rnacentral:ncRNA from 2 species
AGAGUAGCUUUGGCGCGUUAAGUGCCGCCGGACGGGACGUUGUCGGCGGACGAAAGGGCGGGCCCGCGAUUGUGCGGGCGUCGUUCUGCGGCGACCACGGCGCGUCC